rnacentral:rRNA from 1 species
GAUCCUGGCUCAGGAUGAACGCUAGCGACAGGCUUAACACAUGCAAGUCGAGGGGCAGCACAGGUAGCAAUACCGGGUGGCGACCGGCGCACGGGUGAGUAACGCGUAUGCAACUUGCCUAUCAGAGGGGGGAUAACCCGGCGAAAGUCGGACUAAUACCGCAUGAAGCGAGGGGUCCCGCAUGGGGAUAUUUGCUAAAGAUUCAUCGCUGAUAGAUAGGCAUGCGUUCCAUUAGG